GCCUCAGCGGUGCAGCGGUAGAGGACGCGUCCCCGGAUAGGAUGAAACGCGGGUUCGAUUCCCUCCUGAGACC